rnacentral:rRNA from 1 species
CAAAAACAUGUCUGUAUGGUUAAUAAUGUAAAGUCUAACCUGCCCGCUGAAAGUUGUUUGAAGGGCCGCGGUAAUUUGACCGUGCGAAGGUAGCAUAAUCAGUAGUCUUUUAAUUGGAGGCUGGAAUGAACGGUUGGACAAGGGGUCAGCUGUCUCUUUUAUACUUUUUGAAGUUUACUUUUAAGUGAAAAGGCUUAAAUAUUUUUGGGGGACGAUAAGACCCUAUAAAACUUUACAGUUUAAUUUAUAUUUUUUGAAGUAAAGUUUUAUAUUAAUUAUAAAUAUUCUGUUAUGUUGGGGCGACAAAGAUAUAAUGAGUAACUGUCAAGCACAUUAAAUAAUAAUAAUUAGGUAGUUGAUCCUUUAUUAGAGAUUAAAAGAUUAAGUUACUUUAGGGAUAACAGCGUAAUUUUCUCUGAGAGUUCUUAUCGACGAGAGUAGUUGCGACCUCGAUGUUGAAUUAAGAUUUCUUUUAAAUGUAGCAGUUUAAUAAGUGGGUCUGUUCG